AUAUUCCACAGAGAUGCAGCUGUUUCCCCUUCAGUGUAAAACCAUCAGGCAUUUUUAAGGUGUAUAUCUCUUGUCGUCCACUGGGUGUAAGUCGCCCACUGAAUGUCCCUGUUCUCUGGCUGUCCAUGAUCUGAAGCACAUCCUCUAGGAUCGAUGGCCCCAAGUCCAGAUGGAGGGAAAGCAUAGAGCCAGCAUUGGACAGAUACGGCUUCUCCUCCUCAUCUCCGUCCUUCACACACUUCUCAUUUUCCUCAGGAUCUGGACUUUGUUUGUGUGUGUGCAAAUGAAGUGGAGAGCGGCUCGAGGAUGCAGGCAGUGACGUAUGCCGUGACACGCUCCUCUCUUCCAGGUGCAGUCUGGGAGGUUUGGGAGGUGGAGCGAGAGAUGGAGAUGCUGGUGGUAGUUGGGUCGUUGACAGUGCUGUUGGGACCUCAGUGACCGCCGUCGCUGCUGAAGUCAGAGGAGCUGUGGCCGUGGGGGCCGGAAGGGUGAGUGCCUGCACCCCUCCAAUGAUAGGAAGUGACAAGGCAUUUUUCAAAAGCGGCGAGCUCUCGCAGGCCGGCGGGUGACUGCUUACACUCGCUGUGCGACUUAGUUGGAAUGACCCUUGGUGACCUUCUUGACCUGGUAACAGGUGAAAUUUACCUUGUAGGAAAGAUAGGUCACCGAAAAGAUCGUCUGCGCCCCCGCCACUGCCGAUGUGGAUGGUGUGUCUGAAGUCUCCCAGUGGAGGGCUGAUCAUGUCCGACGAGAGAAGGUCACGUAACUUUUCCUUCUUUCCUUUGCGGCUUCGUCGUUUAAGGUAUAUGGGGGCUUUGGCAGACAUGUCGGACCCACCGCGUCCUCCUGAACAACAGAGAGACAGGCCUUGCAGCAGGGUGAAUGGUAGAAAGGAGAGGUGAAAUAAAAUAAAUACUGUACACGUAAAGGAGAGACAAAAAUCACAACGCACUUGGCAAUUGGACAAAAACAGGAUACUUUUUUUGUUCCUUUCUUGUGGAAAAUUCUUCAGAGUGUCUUUUCAUGUAAACAUUUGAAUGCCACAUCCAAAAGGACAGUAUUCCUAUCAGGAGAACAAUCCUGCCAUUGUUUAAGAUGCUGAAAAUCCAGUAUGCCUGCAGUUUGGGAAAAAAAGAGAGAGUAUUUAGCACAUACACUGUGGUAUAUAAGAACUCAGAAUUGAUCCACAUUGAUCCACAUUGACGUUAAAUUGAUCGACAGUGUAAAAGAAAGUCAUUCAUAAUGUUGCAAAUCAAACUGGAAAGCAAAAAG